GUCAGCCCGUGUCGUGAGAUGUUGGGUUAAGUCCCGUAACGAGCGCAACCCUUGUCCUUAGUUACCAGCACGUUAUGGUGGGCACUCUAAGGAGACUGCCGGUGACAAACCGGAGGAAGGUGGGGAUGACGUCAAGUCAUCAUGGCCCUUACGGCCAGGGCUACACACGUGCUACAAUGGUCGGUACAAAGGGUUGCCAAGCCGCGAGGUGGAGCUAAUCCCAUAAAACCGAUCGUAGUCCGGAUCGCAGUCUGCAACUCGACUGCGUGAAGUCGGAAUCGCUAGUAAUCGUGAAUCAGAAUGUCACGGU
rnacentral:rRNA from 1 species